rnacentral:rRNA from 1 species
GACGAACGCUGGCGGCGUGCCUAAUACAUGCAAGUCGAGCGAAGUUUUUCUGGUGCUUGCACCGGAAAAACUUAGCGGCGAACGGGUGAGUAACACGUAAAGAACCUGCCUCAUAGACUGGGACAACUAUUGGAAACGAUAGCUAAUACCGGAUAAUAGCAUUAACUGCAUGGUUGAUGUUUAAAAGUUGGUUUUGCUAACACUAUGAGAUGGCUUUGCGGUGCAUUAGCUAGUUGGUGGGGUAAAGGCCUACCAAGGCGACGAUGCAUAGCCGACCUGAGAGGGUGAUCGGCCACACUGGGACUGAGACACGGCCCAGACUCCUACGGGAGGCAGCAGCAGGGAAUCUUCCGCAAUGGGCGAAAGCCUGACGGAGCAACGCCGCGUGAGUGAAGAAGGAUUUCGGUUCGUAAAGCUCUGUUGUUAGGGAAGAAUGAUUGUGUAGUAACUAUACGCAGUAGAGACGGUACCUAACCAGAAAGCCACGGCUAACUACGUG